GUGAAUCAUCGAAUUUUUGAACGCACAUUGCACUCUCUGGUAUUCCGGGGAGUAUGCCUGUUUGAGGGUCAUUAAAACCAAUCUUUCACCAAUUUUUUUGGUCAACGGGGAUGAGUUCUCCGCGUUUAUCGCGGUGGCUUGAAAUAUAUGGUCAAGUCUCAUUUUAGUCGAGACGCUUAAUAAUAUUAUUUCGCGAACUCUUCAUUAUAUGCCUAUCAAGUUUCG
rnacentral:misc_RNA from 1 species